ACCAGCAUCUAGAAGGCCGUGAGUUGCUCAGUUCAUCCCACUCCCAUGCCAGGCAAUACAGCUGGCUAGGUGCACAGUAACAUCACACACCUGGGCUUCCUUACAAGCCUCCUUUCUCCUUGGCCAGACCCAUAGACCCACCAAGAACCAAGAGUCUAGCCUAUGCUGUCCAAUACAGAACACCAGCCACAUGCUGCUACUGGAAGUGGCUAGUCCCCAGUAAAACAUGCUUUAAGUAUAAAUAAAUAUACAAUAUACACAAUUUCAAAGACUAUUAU